ACCAUAGAAACUUGAUUUGAAUACAAGGAGAAAAUAUCGAAAUUCAUCUCUUUUGAAAAACAAGAAUGAAAACCACCAACUCCCCCCGCCAUAAAAAUGACUCUCUGCACCACUAGUUUGGAGAAGAGUCUGACAAACAUUUGAAGUGAUAUAAUAAGGUUUGGCAUAAAAUAGGAAACCAGACAAGUUCUUCCAAUAUUUUAUAGUCUCUUCAAAACCAAGUAACAGAGACUUGGCAGGAGCCCAUUUUAUACUUGGAGACUUAGUCUGACAGAAAAAUAUGCACCAGAACAAAUAUUCAUAAUAAAAGCAUGACCAACUGCUCCUAUCACCAGCUUACCCUUGUGUACUAUUAAGGAGGAUUAUAUCAUCUGAGAUCUAGAGAAAGAGCCUCCUAAGAAGAAAGAACAGAAAUGCCAAAACCUUAUAUCACAAGCAAGUUUGAGAUUUUUAAGUCUUGGGAGACCGGGUUCACUUGGCGACAGCCACAUUCUGACAGGCAGAAGCAAGAAGCAAAUUAUU